UGUUUGUAGUUUCUUUGCUAUUCAAUGAGAUUGCCAUGGUACCUAAUUAGUUCAAUACGGUAAAUAUGGCGUGUUUUUAAGCUUUUAUGUGAUUAGAGAUUAUUCCUUACUUCUCUUCGCUUAAGAUUAUUUGAUUGAUUGUUGUGUGUUUACCUUGUCUUUAAGAAGAUUGCCCCCUUUGCAGAUUGCCUGUGAACAGAGUCAUGAUUGUUGUUAGAUAUUCAAUUAGAAAGCAUUAUCAAGAAAGCUGAUUUAUUACUGUAGUUUACGAGGAAGGUGGCUAAGGAGAGAUUGCAUGCGAUAUCAAGCUCUGAAGCAUUGUUGGUCCACGGUGGGAUGGGAAAACGGAGGACUCACCGCUAGAGGAAAGGACAGGGAAUUAGAAAUUGAGAUCAGAUAAGGGAGGUCUUGAGCAGGUCCUUAUCCCCUUAAGAAGGCUGAGGCUGAGGGAGACGGCUAGGGAAGGCAAAAGGAUGUGACCCUUCCUGAAAAGGUGUUGAAAAAGUCAAAAAUGGCACGAGUUCCAAAAGACCGCUCAUUAAAAGUUCUUGGGAAAGUGUUUCAAGGCAUUUCCAGCCAUUUGUAGGUGGGGUUCAAA